rnacentral:rRNA from 1 species
UACGGGGGGGGCAAGCGUUGUUCGGAAUUACUAGGCGUAAAGGGCUCGUAGGCGGCCAACUAAGUCAUACGUGAAAUCCCUCGGCUUAACCGGGGAACUGCGUCUGAUACUGGAUGGCUUGAGAUUGGGAGAGGGAUGCGGAAUUCCAGGUGUAGCGGUGAAAUGCGUAGAUAUCUGGAGGAACACCGGUGGCGAAGGCGGCAUCCUGGACCGGCAUUGACGCUGAGGCGCGAAAGCCAGGGGAGCAAACGGG